GAGUUGAGAUGCGGACCCCCUGCCAUGUGAACUGUCCACCAAUCACCUGUCUCUGUAGCUUCUCUGCCACACUGGAAUUAACCCUAGAACCGUGAGCCAAGAUAAAUCCAUCUUCUUUUCAGCUGAUUUCAUCAGAUACUGUUUUCGCAACCACAUGGGAAUUAACACCUCAGGCAAGCAGAAAAGCCCAAGGUCUACUUAUAAUCUAACCACCACACAACUCAUUGAACUACAACCAUCUCAACAAGUAAAUCUCUCCGACUCUCUCCCCUUGCUGACUGCUACAUAUGCUGCCCUCGGGUGUGUUAUGUAUCCCACAAUGCAAUGGGAGCUUCCUCCAGCCAUCGGGUGUCUUUCGGAGAAAUGAAGAGGUAUGAAUGUUUUUGUUCACACAUUUCCAUUUCUUAUUUAGUCACUGUAUCUGAGUU
rnacentral:lncRNA from 1 species